AUUGAACGCUGGCGGCAGGCCUAACACAUGCAAGUCGAGCGGCAGCGGGAAAGUAGCUCGCUACUUUUGCCGGCGAGCGGCGGACGGGUGAGUAAUGCCUGGGAAAUUGCCCAGUCGAGGGGGAUAACAGUUGGAAACGACUGCUAAUACCGCAUACGCCCUACGGGGGAAAGCAGGGGACCUUCGGGCCUUGCGCGAUUGGAUAUGCCCAGGUGGGAUAGCUAGUUGGUGAGGUAAUGGCUCACCAAGGCGACGAUCCCUAGCUGGUCUGAGAGGAUGAUCAGCCACACUGGAACUGAGACACGGUCCAGACUCCUACGGGAGGCAGCAGUGGGGAAUAUUGCACAAUGGGGGAAACCCUGAUGCAGCCAUGCCGCGUGUGUGAAGAAGGCCUUCGGGUUGUAAAGCACUUUCAGCGAGGAGGAAAGGUUGAUGCCUAAUACGUAUCAACUGUGACGUUACUCGCAGAAGAAGCACCGGCUAACUCCGUGCCAGCCGCCGCGGUAAAAC
rnacentral:rRNA from 1 species